rnacentral:rRNA from 1 species
UACGGAGGGUGCAAGCGUUAUCCGGAUUCACUGGGUUUAAAGGGUGCGUAGGCGGGCAGGUAAGUCAGUGGUGAAAUCUCCGGGCUUAACCCGGAAACUGCCGUUGAUACUAUCUGUCUUGAAUAUCGUAGAGGUAAGCGGAAUAUGUCAUGUAGCGGUGAAAUGCUUAGAUAUGACAUAGAACACCCAUUGCGAAGGCAGCUUACUACACGAUCAUUGACGCUGAGGCACGAAAGCGUGGGGAGCAAACAGG